ensembl:lincRNA
ACCCGGUCCGGCCCAGUGAGCUCCAGUACCGGCCGGCUGAGGGGAACUGGGCCCAGACUCGUUGUGCUGUGGGGUGUCCGGACGGGGGGGGGGGGUGAGCCUGCCGCAUUUGGACCCAGAACCGCGGGGGCUCGUAGAGGAGUGGAACCGGCUCAGUUCUGCCCCGCAGUUCAGUACCUCGCCGCCACCCCGAGAGACCGGCUCAACCGCUCUGAUUCUUGUGGGUGGUCUUAUCUCUGCUCUCCGGCAUGCCUGGCCUCUUCAGGCCUCUGUUGUCCAGAUGAAACCCCCCCCCCCCCAGAGCAGUCAGAGCAGGGCGGGGGGCUGCAGGGGCAGGAAGGCAGCAAGGUAAUUUCGCUGUGGAAUGCAGAGGCCAGAGGUGAACCAGUGGGGGAGGGGCCAGGUGCCGAACAGCUGAGGCCUGCUGCUCUUGGCAACAGGGAGGGGGGAGGGGCCAGCCGGAGGGCAGGAUGGGAACUGUAGUUCUUCCUCCCUUCUCAAACUCUUCUCAAGUUUCUGCGUGUUUUUCUCAGCUUCUGACAGGCCUCCGCUGGCCUGCUCUCUCUUUCAGCGAGUGAGUGUCCCGGCCUGGUUUCAUUCCAGCUCCGAAUCCCUGUUUUUCCUCCCCCCGUCCUCACCGCGCUGCAAGACGUGCUCCAAACCUUUUUUUCCCCCCAAACAGACAAACAUUCUUCCCUAAAAUAACAACUCUAAUCCCAGGACGGCUUCCAAUCCUCCUGGGGGGGGACUCAACAGAGCUACAGCCCAGCGUGUGAUCUCCUGUCACAGCCCGAGGAGCACAGAGCGAGCCUCUCUCAUAAUCAUGGUUUUCAGAAAUGUCUGUGAAGCUCUCACAACAAUACGUUUUUUGUUGUAAACGUCUGUAAAUAUUUAGGUGAUUGUUACGGCUUUGGCAGCGCUGCAGCUCGGGGGGCUGCGCCCGCGAGCGGAGGGGGGAGAGAGGAACAGCCCCGGAGGUCGUCCAGCAGUGAUGUCAUCUGGCUGUCAAAUCAGACCGAGAACCAGAACAACAACACAGCCCCUGCGCGUCGGGGCCGGACGCCCCACACCCCUCGGGUCACUGCAGGACGGAGAGCUGCUACUGGGGGGCAGGUUCCAGGGCUGUCCGGCCUGGAGAGGCUGUGCCACUGUCAGAACUAAUCCAGCUCCCAGUCCAGCCAGUGCAGUCCAGCCUGGAGAGGCUCUGUCAGUGUCAGAACUUAUCCAGCUCCCAGUCCAGCCAGUCCAGUCCAGCCUGCAGUGUCUCAGACUGCUCUGUCAGUGGAGUCUGAUUAUAAUCCCAGUGAAGAACUAAUCCAGCUCCCAGUCCAGCCAGUCCAGUCCAGCCUGCAGUGUCUCAGACUGCUCUGUCAGUGUCAGUGAGUCUGAUUAUAAUCCCAGUGAAGAACUAACCAGCUCCCAGUCCAGCCUGCAGUGUCUCAGACUGCUCUUUCAGAGUCAGUGGGGUCUCCAGGCUGUAGGGACAUGUUUAGUGCUUGAAUGAGGCUGCUGAAGAAUUUCACAUUGGCUGCUAAAAUGGAAAAAGAAAUUAUAUUUGACUUCUCGGUUUUGUGAAUGGAGUAAUACACAAUGGGCUGUUAUAAAUUCGGGUGGGCAUGACAAAAGCAACUGGUGUAGAAAAGGGUUUGACGCUGGGAGUGCUUUUCCACCGCGCUCUGGCGAAGUCACGCUGUCGGCAGGACGCCCCUGAGUCACGCAGUCAUGUGAGAGAACUGCUGCCCGCUGCCCGGGCACACAGAGAAAACACUCUACUCCCGGGAUAGAGACACCACCCCCCCCCCUCGAACCCGGGGCUCUGAAAAACAUUUUAAAAUACCGUAAAGAGAUAGUCUGUCUCCUCUGUAUCUUCGCAUUAACACACCAUCUUAAACACAGUUUUUAGAGAUGUACAUGCAUCUUAUGUUGCGUUGAAUAUCAGAUUGCGGCUUGCAGAUUGUGUGUAACUGCACAGCUGACUUUAUCUUAACUUGUUCAGACAGAGAAGAAAGGUUCUUUAUCAGGAAAGUUUCACCACCGCCUGGAUCUGAUCAGUUUGUGUUGAAAUGCUCAGUGACUCCAUCUUCCCUGCACCCCUCCCCCUGCCCCCACCCUGGAAUGAGCUGGAGCGCGAUUGUGAAAGAGCUGUCAUCACAGGAGCAGGCUGGGAGCACCCACUGUGGGAUCGGAGAGCGCAGGUACAGGAGUGAGAGAGGUAGAGAGUGAGAGAGUGAGAGAGCACAGGAACAGAGGAAAGUGUGAGCCCAGGUACAGGAGUGAGAGAGGUAGAGAGUGAGAGAGUGAGAGAGC